rnacentral:rRNA from 1 species
UACGUAGGGUGCAAGCGUUAAUCGGAAUUACUGGGCGUAAAGCGUGCGCAGGCGGUUCUAUAAGACAGAUGUGAAAUCCCCGGGCUCAACCUGGGAACUGCAUUUGUGACUGUAGAGCUGGAGUACGGCAGAGGGGGAUGGAAUUCCGCGUGUAGCAGUGAAAUGCGUAGAUAUGCGGAGGAACACCGAUGGCGAAGGCAAUCCCCUGGGCCUGUACUGACGCUCAUGCACAAAG